UGCAAUUAUACUAUGACAAGCACAUCCAACACAUACAAUAAAUAAUUCACUCACUAUUCACAUAAGAAGAUAAUUUGAAGUUAUUCAAGCACCUAGUGUAUCACAUCAAUGCAUAAACAUGGGAGUUAAUCCCCUAUACAGCUGUCUCAAUCCGAAUUCCACUAGCGAGCUCAACUAAAGCAGGAUUUUUACUUAAAUCUAAGUGUGAGGGCCUGUGAGAUCAACUCAAAGUCGUGCCUCGCCUCGACUUUCCAUAUCCAUAAGGAUUGGGUUCCAGUAAGACUAGCUCUAACUGUGACUACCCAUCAUAUCCAUAUCCAUUAUAUGCCAUAUAUAACCCAUACACAACUCUAAAUUAUCCUUAGGGCAGCAAACACAAGUAAUUAUUAACAAAUAAAUAUGCAAUAAUAAGAGUGCUUCUAAUUUUUUUAAUUAAACAUGUAAAUAUAUUUAUAAAAAUGCAUGAGCAUGCCAAAAAUAUAUAAAUAAUAUUAAAAUUACAAA
rnacentral:misc_RNA from 1 species